UAGUGAUCCGGUGGUUCUGUAUGGAAGGGCCAUCGCUCAACGGAUAAAAGGUACUCUGGGGAUAACAGGCUGAUACCGCCCAAGAGUUCAUAUCGACGGCGGUGUUUGGCACCUCGAUGUCGGCUCAUCUCAUCCUGGGGCUGUAGCCGGUCCCAAGGGUAUGGCUGUUCGCCAUUUAAAGAGGUACGUGAGCUGGGUUUAAAACGUCGUGAGACAGUUUGGUCCCUAUCUGCCGUGGGCGUUGGAUACUUGACGGAGCCUGCUCCUAGUACGAGAGGACCGGAGUGGACGUACCACUGGUGUAUCGGUUGUCAUGCCAAUGGCAUUGCCGAGUAGCUACGUACGGAAGAGAUAACCGCUGAAGGCAUCUAAGCGGGAAACUCGUCUGAAGAUUAGGUAUCCCGGGGGCUUGACCCCCCUGUAGGGUCGUCCGAGACCAGGACGUUGAUAGGCUGGGUGUGGAAGUGCAGUAAUGCAUGUAGCUAACCAGUACUAAUUGCCCGUGUGGCUUGAUCCU
rnacentral:ncRNA from 1 species